UACGGGGGGGGGCAAGCGUUGUUCGGAAUUACUGGGCGUAAAGGGCCAGUAGGCGGCCAACUAAGUCCGACGUGAAAUCCCAAGGCUUAACCUUGGAACUGCGUCGGAUACUGGAUGGCUUGAAUUCGGGAGAGGGAUGCAGAAUUCCAGGUGUAGCGGUGAAAAUGCGUAGAUAUCUGGAGGAACACCGGUGGCGAAGGCGGCAUCCUGGACCGACACUGACGCUGAGGAGCGAAAAGCCAGGGGGAGCAAAACGGG
rnacentral:rRNA from 1 species